CCCGUCGAAAUUUUGAUGUUUAAAAUUGAAGGAUUCCUACAAAGUUCAGUGCAUAAAUUCUGAAUAACAUUUACAAAGAUAUAAAUCUGAAAAAAAUUGAAGUAUAUGCUUUCUACAUUGAAAUAAAGGAUAAUCGGUCAAGCGUUUUACUCGGAAAAAGCAUCACAAAAGGCACAAAUGCUCAUGAAUUGCGUGCUUUCUUGAAUACUGUAUUGAGAAUGGCAUGGCCGGAGUACCGUGCUGCAGGUAGAGCUUUGCAAUUUUGAGGCCACAAAAUGAUAAGCACGUAGCUGCUCAAAUUUAUUUUGCUCUUGAAUCUGUAAAUUUUACUGAUACCUAUUCUCCCAAGAAAUAUGAUAUUUGUGCAUAAUGCAAUAUCCAUGAGAGGACCUACUUCAAAUAAAUUAUAUUUUAUUCGAAGAGGAUCCUUCUCCAUGCGAGGGGUGGACAUCGGGAUUUGCGUGUAGCAUUACCUUUCCUCCAAACCUGAACUUCGUAGAGAAACUUAUACUUUAUAGGCAAAAUAAUUAUAAAUAAUGAAUUUCCCCUUUGUUUUCUAUUAAGCUACCGUUUAGCCUCCAUUCUCAUUCAUUUUCUCUUUUUUAUUUUCAACUACAUAAUCUUCCAUAAAAUAAUAUUACACACAAAUAAAAAGCUUUUCAUUCUUUUUCAACCACAUAUUUUUCAAAAAAAAAAACACUAUUAUAAUCAUUAAAAUUUGAAAAAAAUGAAGGUCAAACGGGGGCUUAUGUACUUUGUACAAUAGCUCAUUCAGCAUUUGGAAAGAACGUGUAUGAUUACAAUCUAUGGCAUAUGCAUUUUAAUCUUCGACAUGAUGAACGAAAUCUAAUUUAACAUAUUUAAUGGUCACAUUAUUAGAUCCUGAGCACAGUACAAUUUCUAGUUGAGAAAGCCAAUUUAAUUUAAAACUGUUAAAAAAAUUCUUCAAAAUAUUUGCUAUAAAUUGUACCGUUUUGGCCUUGCCAUGCUCACAUUUGGCUCUCCGUAACUGUCCUGAAACAAUGUUUGGAAUAUUUGUUUCGGUGUUUCUGUUACCAAAAUAUGAAGGAUGUGUUACUGAAUAUUAGUUACAAAUGUGUCCUAAACUUUCAAGCACAAUUAGCAUGAAAACUAAACAAAAAAACACAAGUCAUAGCUCACAUUUGGUUCAACUAAAAAAUCUUAUUAAAAUCUAAAAUCAAUAAUAAAUUUUAACCACACAUUUCAAGAAUCCUACAACUUUUCAUCUACACAUUUCAUCAAUUUUUAUCAAAAUAUACUAAAAUUUAAUUUUUAUAUAAACAAACAGGGGCAUAGAUUUUGCUAGAAAAAGAUAACUUCCCAUAAUUUCUUGGUAACUAUUGCUGCACCAAUUGAUAGCUGUGGUGGAGGAUCAUUGUUGACCUUGUAGGAGGAUGCUAACUCAAAUUCUAGCAAAGUUUUGAAUAAGCAUGCUAUUCAAGAUGUAGUGUAAACUCUCUAAUAACAUUAUCCUCCUCAUUGACUCGUUGCAUAAGGGUUUUUAGCUCUGUAAUAAACCUAGAAAGAGCCGUGUAUGCGCUGCUAUUUAACUUGCACAGACCAGGUCCAAUCCGAGCAAGUCUUAAAACUCCUACUAAGAAUUUGAGCACGUAUUACUGUUUCAUCCAUGACAAGUGUAUCAUUCUCAAGCUAAUUUUGUGAUUGUUGCAACUCCACUGCCUUUCUGUCAUAUAAUACCAAAAAGUUGUUAAAAUAAACAAUAUUUAUUGUAAAAUAUAUUAGUGUUAUUAGUUAUUUAUCUUACAUAUCACGACUUGGUUAUCCCAUCCUUUUGCCGUGAAAUGCAUCAUCCUAAAUAAUUCGAUGAGACCAACUCAUUCUUCCAGUGAAAUAAAAAACUAUGCAAAAAUAAAACUUGAUCACUCAUCCAUUAGCCCACCAUAUAGAGUUGUUAAACAGAAAUACUCUCACAGUGAUUUUGUUUAUAUAUGAUACCAAACUUGGAGAUA
rnacentral:lncRNA from 1 species